AACGCGAAGAACCUUACCAGUCCUUGACAUGUCUCGUAUGGGUCUGAGAGAUCAGAUCCUUCGGUUCGGCCGGCGAGAACACAGGUGCUGCAUGGCUGUCGUCAGCUCGUGUCGUGAGAUGUUGGGUUAAGUCCCGCAACGAGCGCAACCCUUACCACUAGUUGCCAGCAUUUAGUUGGGCACUCUAGCGGAACUGCCGGUGAUAAACCGGAGGAAGGUGGGGAUGACGUCAAGUCAUCAUGGCCUUUAUGUCCAGGGCCACACACGUGCUACAAUGGCCGGUACAAACCGCUGCAAACUCGCGAGAGGGAGCCAAUCGGAAAAAGCCGGUCUCAGUUCGGAUUGGAGUCUGCAACUCGACUCCAUGAAGUUGGAAUCGCUAGUAAUCGCGGAUCAGCACGCUGCGGUGAAUACGUUCCCGGGCCUUGUACACACCGAGUAUA
rnacentral:rRNA from 1 species